GCAGCAGCCGCGGUAAUACGGAGGGAGCUAGCGUUGUUCGGAAUUACUGGGCGUAAAGCGCGCGUAGGCGGUUACUCAAGUCAGAGGUGAAAGCCCGGGGCUCAACCCCGGAACUGCCUUUGAAACUAGGUGACUAGAAUCUUGGAGAGGUCAGUGGAAUUCCGAGUGUAGAGGUGAAAUUCGUAGAUAUUCGGAAGAACACCAGUGGCGAAGGCGACUGACUGGACAAGUAUUGACGCUGAGGUGCGAAAGCGUGGGGAGCAAACGGGAUUAGAGACCCCGGUAGUCCCUGUCUCUUAUAC
rnacentral:rRNA from 1 species